ensembl:lncRNA
GUUUUACACAGUAAUAAUAUAUAUCUGCCUCACUCUCAGAGAAAUCAGUAGUACUGCUAGGUUUUACACAGUAAUAAUAUAUAUCUGCCUCACUCUCAGAGGAAUCAGUAGUACUGCUAGGUUUUACACAGUAAUAAUAUAUAUCUGCCUCACUCUCAGAGAAAUCAGUAGUACUGCUAGGUUUUACACAGUAAUAAUAUAUAUCUGCCUCACUCUCAGAGAAAUCAGUAGUACUGCUAGGUUUUACACAGUAAUAAUAUAUAUCUGCCUCACUCUCAGUGAAAUCAGUAGUACUGCUAGGUUUUACACAGUAAUAAUAUAUAUCUGCUAGGUUUUACACAGUAAUAAUAUAUAUCUGCUAGGUUUUACACAGUAAUAAUAUAUAUCUGUCUCACUCUCAGAGGAAUCAGUAGUACUGCUAGGUUUUACACAGUAAUAAUAUAUAUCUGUCUCACUCUCAGAGGAAUCAGUAGUACUGCUAGGUUUUACACAGUAAUAAUAUAUAUCUGCCUCACUCUCAGAGGAAUCAGUAGUACUGCUAGGUUUUACA